rnacentral:rRNA from 1 species
UACGAAGGGGGCUAGCGUUGCUCGGAAUCACUGGGCGUAAAGCGCACGUAGGCGGAUUCUUAAGUCGGUGGUGAAAGCCUGGAGCUCAACUCCAGAACUGCCUUCGAUACUGAAGAUCUUGAGUUCGGGAGAGGUGAGUGGAACUGCGAGUGUAGAGGUGAAAUUCGUAGAUAUUCGCAAGAACACCAGUGGCGAAGGCGGCUCACUGGCCCGAUACUGACGCUGAGGCACGAAAGCGUGGGGAGCAAACAGG